CGUGAGGGAAAGGUGAAAAGAACCCCGGGAGGGGAGUGAAAUAGAACCUGAAACCAUAUGCUUACAAGAAGUUAGAGCCCGUUAAAGGGUGAUAGCGUGCCUUUUGUAGAAUGAACCGGCGAGUUACGAUAUGGAGCGAGGUUAAGCAGGAUAUGCGGAGCCGAAGCGAAAGCGAGUCUUAACAGGGCGAAAGUUGCAUGUCGUAGACCCGAAACCGAGUGAUCUAGCCAUGACCAGGUUGAAGUUGGGGUAAAACCCGAUGGAGGACCGAACCGACCCCCGUUGAAACGUUGGCGGAUGAGUUGUGGCUAGGGGUGAAAUUCCAAUCGAACUCGGAGAUAGCUGGUUCUCCCCGAAAUAGCUUUAGGGCUAGCGUCGAGGUAAAGUCGUGUGAAGGUAGAGCACUGAAUAUGUGAUGGCCCCAUCUCGGGGUACUGAACAUAAUCAAACUCCGAAUGUCACAAAGAUAUACUCGGCAGUCAGACAGUGGGUGAUAAGGUCCAUUGUCAAAAGGGAAACAGCCCAGACCAUCAGCUAAGGUCCCAAAAUAUAUACUAAGUGGAAAAGGAUGUGGAGAUGUCCAGACAACUAGGAGGUUGGCUCAGAAGCAGCCAUCCUUUAAAGAGUGCGUAACAGCUCACUAGUCGAAUGACUCUGCGCCGAUAAUUUACCGGGGCUAAGUAUAUUACCGAAGCUAUGGAUUUACGCGUAAGCGUGAGUGGUAGGGGAGCGUUCUAUGUGCGGAGAAGCGGUACCGUAAGGAGCCGUGGAGCGCAUAGAAGAGAGAAUGCCGGUGUGAGUAGCGAAACGUGGGUGAGAAUCCCACGCACCGAAAACCCAAGGUUUCCAGAGGAAGGUUCGUCCGCUCUGGGUAAGUCGGGACCUAAGGCGAGGCCGAGAGGCGUAGUCGAUGGACAACAGGUAGAGAUUCCUGUACUUACGGUAUGAAUGAUGGAGUGACGGAGAAGGCUAGCGGAUCCUGCUGAUGGAAAUGCAGGUGCAAGCGAGGUAGCCGACAGCCAGGCAAAUCCGGCUGUCGAAAGGCAAAGGCGUGAGGCGUAUGGAAAGCUGCGGCAAGUACAGAAGUCCGUGAAGCCAGCUUCCAAGAAAAGCUUCUAGUGAUAAUCAUACAGUAACCCGUACCGAAAAUGGACACACAUGGGUGAGGAGAGAAUCCUAAGGUGAGCGAGAGAACUAUAGCUAAGGAACUCUGCAAAAUGACUCCGUAACUUAGGGAUAAGGAGUGCUCAUAGAGAUAUGAGCCGCAGUGAAACGGCCCAAGCGACUGUUUACCAAAAACACAGCUCUAUGCUAAGUCGAAAGACGACGUAUAUGGGGUGACGCCUGCCCGGUGCUGGAAGGUUAAGAGGAUGUGUCAGCGCAAGCGAAGCAUUGAAUUGAAGCCCCAGUAAACGGCGGCCGUAACUAUAACGGUCCUAAGGUAGCGAAAUUCCUUGUCAGGUAAGUUCUGACCCGCACGAAAGGCGUAACGAUUUGGGCGCUGUCUCAGCUGUAGACUCGGUGAAGUCUUAGUACCUGUGAAGAUGCAGGUUACCCGCGACUAGACGGAAAGACCCCAUGGAGCUUUACUGUAGCUUGAUAUUGGACUUUGAUGCAAGAUGUACAGGAUAGGUAGGAGACUGAGAGACAUGCACGCCAGUGUGUGAGGAGUCAAUGUUGGGAUACUACUCUUCUUGUAUUGGAGUUCUAACCGGAUGCCAUGGAACUGGCAACGGGACAGUGUCAGGUGGGCAGUUUGACUGGGGCGGUCGCCUCCCAAAGAGUAACGGAGGCGCCCAAAGAUACCCUCAGCUUGGAUGGAAAUCAAGCGCAGAGUGCAAAGGCAUAAGGGUGUUUGACUGCGAGACCUACAAGUCGAGCAGGGACGAAAGUCGGGCUUAGUGAUCCGGCGGUGCUGAAUGGAAAGGCCGUCGCUCAACGGAUAAAAGCUACCCUGGGGAUAACAGGCUGAUCUCCCCCAAGAGUCCACAUCGACGGGGAGGUU
rnacentral:rRNA from 1 species